rnacentral:tRNA from 1 species
GGGCGCAUAGCUCAGCUGGUUUAGAGCAUCUGCCUUACAAGCAGA